CUGCCAGUUUCUACCUCAGGAAAAAGUGGGAGAGUUUGCCAAGAUGUCCAAAAUUGAGUUGCUGGAGGCAACUGAGAAGUCAGUGGGACCAACAGAGAUGUAUGAGUACCACUGUGAGCUCAAAAACUUCCGCAACAAAGAACGAGAACAGGAGAACAUUGUGAAAGAGAAGUCCAGUUUCUCGAGAAGG